ensembl:misc_RNA 7SK 7SK RNA
AGCUGUGAGGAUGGUCUGGCUGAGACAUUUGUUACCCCAUUGAUUGCAAGGGUUGAUUCAGCUUAUCUGGCUAGUUAGAGGGGUGUCCCCUUCCUCCCUCACCACUCCAUGUGCAUUCUUCCUGAACCUGUGUACUCAAAGAGGAUGACCUUCCUCAAUAGAGAAGGACCAUUCUUUGAUCAAGGGUAUAUGAAUAGCUGAGUUCCCUGCUAGAAGCUCCAAAUAAGCACUCAAGAUUAAUUUUCAUUAGUUUUACUUGAUAUUCUGAGUUCAUUUGAAGACUCAUAUUGUUCUUCACGAGAAGUGCAGAUUCUU